UACGUAGGGUGCGAGCGUUAAUCGGAAUUACUGGGCGUAAAGCGUGCGCAGGCGGUUAUUUAAGCCAGACGUGAAAGCCCCGGGCUUAACCUGGGAAUGGCGUUUGGGACUGGAUAGCUGGAGUACGGCAGAGGGAGGUGGAAUUCCACGUGUAGCAGUGAAAUGCGUAGAGAUGUGGAUGGAACACCGAUGGCGAAGGCAGCCUCCUGGGCCAGUACUGACGCUCAUGCACGAAAGCGUGGGGAGCAAACAGG
rnacentral:rRNA from 1 species